rfam:Ictidomys tridecemlineatus contig089194, whole genome shotgun sequence.
GGGAUUGUGGCUCAGUGAUAGAGCGUUUGCCUCACACAUAUGAGGCCCUGGGUUCGAUCCUCAGCACCA